AGGUUUAACAUGUAACUUAGCACUUGCAAAUACACAGGCAUAUGUAAAUAUGCCUGUGUAUUUGCAAGUGCUAAGUUACAUGAAAAGUCA
rnacentral:pre_miRNA from 1 species